GCCGCUUUAGCUCAGUAGGUAGAGCGCAUCCAUGGUAAGGAUGAGGUCGCCGGUUCAAUCCCGGCAAGUGGCU
rnacentral:tRNA from 1 species